GCUCAUUACAGCGUUUAUGGUCAUAAAUUUGUUGCAAGUGAAAAGUAAUAUGUGCGAAUAACAUUUUUUAUUAAAAUAUCAUGGACACGUCACAAAAGUAAGAUAGUUAUUAACAAAGUGUGUGUAAGUUUAAAAGGCUUAAAAAUCAAGAGUUUAUUGUACACAUAGAUGUGCAAAAUUUUUCACAGGCUAUUUUUGAUAAGAAAAUAUUUGUUUUUAUAUAUCAAAAGAUAUUCUAAAUUAUUUGUAUUGUACAUAUUCAUCACCUGUUUCACUUGAUGCACUUGAUUCAUUGUUUGAUAGCUAGCUUCAGUUAUAAUAAUUUACAACUUCAAUUCAAUAUGUCACGAAAAAUGACAGGACAAAAUUUUUCUCUUGUAUUUUGGGAAAGUAUAAAAUCACACUCCGUUAUUAAAACGAGUUCUAUUAAACAUGGAAAGAGAGAUGGAAAACUUACAGCCCGGAAAAAUAACACAAGCAUGGCUGUAAAAAUUUUGUUGCAAGAUGAUGAUAAAGAUUAUUUAGAAAUGAUCGAUGUGGAUAAAAAUAGAAAAAUUAUACUAAAUAAAGUAAAAUCAUGCAUCAAUAAAGAAAAUAAAAGAGUUAAAAAAAUUAAAACUGCUAAAAGCGUUGAUUCACAAAUAGAAAAUUAAGAAAUUUUCUUGAAAAAAUCUAUUUUUGAUGCUGAUUUAGAAUCCCCACCUACUCCACCCAUCAAACAAAAAGAUGAAGAUCCAACAUUUACUACCAGUGAAUUUAAUUAAGUUGUUGCUGUUCGAAAGAAAUGUAAAAAAAAUCUAAUUCAAGAUGAUAAUGAAGAUUUUCUAGAGAUGGGUCGCAUCAAUAAAAACGGUAAAACGGAAUCAAAAAUAGUAGAUUCAAUAAACGAUAGAAAAAUGGGGUUAUUGUCUAUUGUUAACCCUGACUAUGGAAAUUCAUCUGAAUCUGACUCUGAACAAGAGGUUGAUAAAAUAACACACAUCACUAGUGCCUCAGACAGUGAAUCUGAUGUUAAGAAUUUCCUAAAAUAAAGAAAGCGAAGUUUAUUUCGAGAUGAAAAUAACAAAUCGCUGGAGAUAGUUGGCGUUGCUGAUAAUGAAAAAUCUCUAGCAAGUUUAAGCAAUAAAACUUGUAUUUCUGUUGCUGCAUCAUCAAAGGAUAAGAAAACCUCCGUCAAGAAAUCUACUUAUAAUUGUGAUCUACAAAUGCCGUCAACAUCGAAGAAUGCAGUCAUAAGUGACACGGAUAGUGGAUCUGAAAUGGAAGACUUUGUAAAAAAAAGAAAAACUAAUCAAAUGAGUGAUGGUGAUGAUGGAUCUCAGGAAAUAGUUGGAGUCGCUGAAAAUGGAAAAUCUCUUGCAAGUUAAGAAAAUAAAUCUUGUAUAGUUCUAUUGUCGCGUUAUCAAAGGAUAAAAGAACUUUCUUCAAAAAAUCUACUCAAGACCAUGAUCUGGAGAAGUCAUCGACAUCAUCUUUGGGACUUGAGAAUCCAGUCUCAAGUAACAAUGCUAGUGAAUCCGAUGAGGAUAAAAGCUUGGCUAUAAUUUCAAGUUAUUUAAUUUAAUAAUUUUUUAGAUGAUUUUCUGAUUUUGUUCUGACUAAUUUCAUAUAAUUUAUUUCGACAGAAUAAAAAAAAAUAGAUCAAUAUAAUGCUGAUAAUUAUCAUAUGUCUGCAGACGGUAAUAAAAUGUAUAUUUUUUUAUUUAUAAAUAUGUAUUAGGGUUUAUUUCUUUCGUUCCUGCAGCAAAGUAUUGUUUUAUAUAUUGGAAAAUAAGUUUCUGAAUGUUUGAGCCCUCAAAUUUAAUUCUAACAACUUUUUUUUAAUUUUUAAGUAUUUUCAAGAUUUUACUUUGGAGACGAGUAUAUACCAAAAUAUAUUAGUUGACAUCCAUCAGCUUUAAGUCCUUUCAAAGAGUCUCUUAUUGCUUACGAAUUGCUUUUUGGUUCAUUGCAGUGUACUAUUAAAUGUCGCUAAGUUAUAGGAAAUUGAAAUAAAAAAAAUUAUUAAUUUCCUAUGAAUUUUAAAUGGAAAAACUUUAAAAUUAAACACAAAAAAUUAGGAGGAAGAAUAAAAAUAAAGGGCUCAAACUUUCAAGAACUUUUUUUUUAAUACAUAAAAUUUUCACCAGAGGAAUAAAAAAAAUGUAUUCGUUCAAAACGAAUCGUCCUAAUAUGUAUGUAGCUUUGUUUUAUACCAUAUAUAAAUACCUACACCGAUACGAAAGUUUUCUUGAUUCAAGAGAAAAAAUCUUUAAUCAAGUUUAAUUUUUUAUCAGUGCAGAAUUUUUAAUUUUCUACUUCCUUUAAAGAUGUAAAACUCUUCGAAAAAUUUCUAAAAUUUAAACGUAGUAGAGAACAACAACGAUCUACGUCCGCAAGUUUAAGUAAAAUAAAAAAAAAUAAGCAUAAGAAGUCUCCAGAGAUCGAGCUAAUCGAUGGAACUGGGAUUUUCGUAAACAGAUUUCGCUUGGAGCUUAUUACAGAAAAAAAUGUAAAAAAGGCGGCUCAGAUGACACGACUUUUAUUUAAACUUAUAAUCGGUGAAGAAGAACUUGCUAAAAUGGUGCCGAUUAAAAAAGAAACUGGAAGAGAGUUAGUUCCUGAGAACAUAUAUGAAGCAAUUUUCGGCCAUUCGGCAGCCGCAAUGGAAGUCACGAUAUGAAAUCAGGCUCGUUUUCUAAGAGUAAGGGUAAAAAAAGACAACGACUAUUUUCGAUAGAGAACUUUAGAUAGUUGAUUUGACAAAACAUUAUAUAGGUAAUAUACCAAAUUAACCGUCACGUAAACAAAGUAUAGAAAAUUUAAUUAGUAUGAGAUCAUAAUUGUAAUCGCUAUUACGAUGGCAAGACCAGUUAUAAUUAUAGGACGUACAGGUUAUUUUCUUCACAAUAAAAUACAACGGACGAAAUUGGAUUAUAAUGAGCAAUGCUGAAGUUAUGUGAAAUAAAAACCAUAUUUCCAACAUUUUUUUAAUUCAUUAAAAAUUUUAAGGCUAUCAAAUUAUUGGAAGAAAAAGUUAAAACAUAAAGCUUAGGGUCAUAAAUUAAAGAUUAUGGGACAAGCUUUCAGAUACUUUUUACGGAGAUUGCCUAUGAAUAUUAGUUUUGAAGUUAUAUAAACUUUAGCAGUGAUUAAAAACUGAUUUUUACGAAAAAUCAUGACAAUUUUAAACAGUCAUAAUUUCAAAACUAUUCGAACGAUUUAGCCCAUCUUUAAACUUGAUCAAAAUAAUCGCUCAUAGAAUAAGGGUAAAAAAUUUCGUUAGGAUCCGAUAAGAACUGUGGGUGCUAUCGUAAUGACAAGACCAGUGAUAAUCAUAGAAAUUGGAGGUACAUUUGAUGCAUCAUAAAUAAUAAAAGAAAUACUUUUAAAAUACAAAAUACCAGUGAAAUUUACAGGUUAUUUUAUGCAAAAUAAAAUACAGCUGACGAAACUGGAUUAUAAUGUGACAAGCAUAACUUAUGUGGAAUGAAAACCAUAUUUUCAACAUUUUUUGAUUCCAUUAAAAUUUUCAAGGCUAUCAAAUUAUUGGAAAAAAUGGUCAAAAUGUAAAGUUUAAGGUCAUAAAUUGAAGCUUAUUAGUCAAGCUUUAAAAUAAUUUUUACAGAAAUUCUCUAUGAAUUUCAGUUGUAAAGUUAUAUGCACUUCAAAAUUGAUUAAAAACUGAUUUUUUCGAAAAAUCGUUAAAAUUUCAAUCAGCCAUAACUUCUAAACUAAUCGACCGAUUCAGCCCAUCUUCGAACUUAACCGUGAAUACGUGAAUACGAGUGUUAAACCUGGCCAUGAGAUCAGUUUGAAAGAAUUUCAAGCAGUUGUGGGCAGUAUGUGUUGCACUAUUCGCGAAAAGUUCAAGAAAUAAGCUUCCGAAGAAAUUCUUGAGUUGUUGUUACUGAAUAAUUAUGUCAAGAGUUAUGAAAGUCUAUUCAAAGUUAUGAUGUUUGAAGUUAUAGCAGAUAAUGAAAUUAAAAUUUUUUAACUACAGCAGAUCGCAUUUGUUUAUAAUUGAUCUUCAAAUAAAAAUAUGUUUUCUUCGUUAUUUGGAAGUUUUCAUCACUUAAUUUUUUAAAAUAAUCGAUUAAUUAAAAAGGGCCCAAUUAAAAUGUUUCACCUAUUUAUAUUAAAUUAAAUUUAAGUUUAUUGUCUGUUGAGCAUGAACAUUAAAUUAUAAAAUAUA